CCUACUCGACGACAAACUUGCGAGUCAAUUUCAAACAAAGGAUAUACAUGUACUGUACACGAAACACACUCAAUUGACGUUAGAUCGUCAUUAGGUUUACUUUGGACUUGGGAAUGAUGCCCACAUCUGCUGCGACUGGACAUACGGUGUAGGUAAUAAACCUCCGGCGCCAAGCACAUUAAUAAUUUAAAUAAUGUAGCAGAAGCAGAGCUUUCUCAAAAACGAAGCAGCAACAAAAGGAAAAACGCUGCCAACCGUUCAAAAACACCGGAGACUUGCAUGACAGGAAAGAAGCGCGCAUAUUAAUUCAAUUCACAUAAAACCAGUGCUUUGAUCGGCAAAGAAUUGUACAACCUUUCGUACGGACCAUGUCAUAUAAACUGACCGUUGCUUUGUUACUUUUGCAUUUACAUAAAUUCGCCAUCAUCAUUAUUUCAUCGUAUACACAUUAGUCAAAGGAUUUAAGGGAUGAAAAAAAAAAUCCCAAAUUUUCGUGUGAUUUGCAAAGGGUUGUAACUUUUUGAAAAAUGAUAUUGGGAAACAAAAGGGUGAAGGGAAUCGUAACUCCGAGUUUCGUGUUUUCAAAUCCGGCAUUCAAAAUUUUUUAGUAGCAAUAAAAAUUUCCUUAUUUCACCAUUUUUUUACCGAGUUACAGCCCUUUGAAAAUCACACGAAAAUUUGGGAUCUCUUUUUAUCCCUCAAUGUCCGUGACUUGGUGCAUUUAACGAACUAUCGAAAAAAUAUGAGAUUUCAUAAAUGGAAAAAAAUUUAAGCAAAAAAAAAAAUCAAAUAAUCGACAAGCUAGCAAUAAUAGUUGUACGUUCAACACAUCUACAGCGGUGUACCUAGAGAAUAUACACAUCGUGUCAAGGCUGAUGUUUAUUGAUCGAGCAUUACCUACACGCAAAUGUGAUCGUGUAAACGAACAUGAACCACGUAUCGUAUGUACUACAUGGAUCAUAAAUUUACAGUGACGUAUUUUUCGUUGCAAGGGCCCGUAGCGUCGUUAGAAGCGGGGAUAUAUUAUUGAAUAUUUUUUUCUUCAUUUUCUUUUCUAGGACAAGAUCUACAUUAUUAUAGAUAUAUCAUUUCUACCGGACAAUCAGAAUUAUUUCUAUACUUUAUACCGUUUCUGUCUUAUUGAUUCCCCCCGUCUCACCCCCGAUCAUAUUUUUAGUGACAGAUAGGCAGGCAGGUGGGUAGGGGGAGGGGGGGGGGAUGUUUUUCGGUUCGUGCAACGCAUCGACGACGUCGAGGUCAGCUGAGCGUCGACUGCGGUACAGCUGUAGCAAAAACAAGAUGGCUGAAACGAACAGCUGAUCGUUCACGGUCUGCGCGAGGUGAUCAUCACUGCCGUGCAUUUGUGACAAAAUUAUUCAAAAAAAUCAUCAUUUGUUGGGAAAAGUUGGAAAGAAUAAUAACAUGAGUAACUAAUAUGGAAGUAGAUGUGUGAAUGAAUGAAGAGAAAGAAAAAUAUUGAAAAACGGGUUCAAACACGAUGCUGAGAUUUCCAAAUAUCCGAAGGGAAUUUACCGAUGUUAAAGUUCUAUUUCAGGUCACACUCGGACCUAAAAUGGAACCCUAUAAUGUGCUUCCCCUUCGCUCCUCUGUCGGCCAUGAUUAUAAUCGUUGAUUUUUCUUACAAAUAAUACCAGUAAUAAUAAUGGUAAUAAUAAGGAUACAGAUGACAUAAUUUAAUGGGCAUGAUCAAUGCUUCGAUAUCUAAGAUAGUCAAUUAUAUAACUGAAACGAUUGUAUCCAGAUUAGUGAUAUUGGAAAGAAAAAUUAGAUUAUAUUACCGAGGACAAGCGAUUAUGCACCUCAAUUUAUUAUAAUUCAUAACGUUCUGACGAAAAUAAUAUUGUUUGUUGAUCUCACAAUAAAUGUUUUACAUCCAUGCGCGCAUGAUGUAAUAAAAAAUGUCCAUUCAAAUAAGGGAGAAACGAAAUACUGAUGAUUUAGAAGAAAGGAAGAGAAGACAAAAAAAAAAUUAGCCCGAAACUCGAUAUAUCACGAUAAUUAUGUUACCUACUGAAUUUAACAUUGUACAAAAAUUGGAAAUAGAUGUAUUUAGUGUAUUUAGUGCUUCAACGCAGGUGGAUUGUAUUUCACUUUGCACAAUAACUGAAUAGAUACAAGUAUAAUAUAUCGCGUGUAUCGUACAAGUAUAGGUGUACCCAUGUAACCCAAGAACCCGUAAGGUAGGUAUAGGAAAGGAAACUAGACUCGGUUAUCAUCAUCGGAGCACCUCAGAUGUAGGACUUAAAGUCGAGCUUCAAAUAUGUAAAACUAUUUAUAUAUACCAACAGAUUCGCCUAUAACUAAUAAACACAAAACGCUGAA